UGCGAUGAGUCGAGUAACACACUAUGUGUGAAAGAAAACGGCCAGCAUGUUUCACCCACCGGAUUUGCGGGCGCUGGUUUUCCCUCUGGAUUGUGGAGUCC
rnacentral:ncRNA from 1 species